rnacentral:rRNA from 1 species
GUAGGGAAUAUUGGGCAAUGGUCGGAAGACUGACCCAGCCAUGCCGCGUGCAGGAAGACGGCCCUCUGGGCUGUAAACUGCUUUUAUCUGGGAAGAAAAAGUCCAUGCGUGGCAAAUUGCCGGUACCAGAUGAAUAAGCACCGGCUAACUCCGUGCCAGCAGCCGCGGUAAUACGGAGGGUGCGAGCGUUGUCCGGAUUUAUUGGGUUUAAAGGGUGCGUAGGCGGCUGAUUAAGUCAGCGGUGAAAGACUUCGGCUUAACCGGAGCAGUGCCGUUGAUACUGGUUGGCUUGAGUGUCGGAGGGGUACAUGGAAUUGAUGGUGUAGCGGUGAAAUGCAUAGAUACCAUCAGGAACACCGAUAGCGAAGGCAUUGUACUGGCCGACAACUGACGCUGAUGCACGAAAGUGUGGGGAUCGAACAGGAUUAGAUACCCCGGUAGUCC